GCCUGGGUAGCUUAUUGAGUUAAGCAUCGGACUUCAGCUCGGAUCAUGAUCUCACGGCUGGUGGGUUUGAGUCCCAUGUCAGGCU
rnacentral:tRNA from 1 species